rnacentral:rRNA from 1 species
UUUGAACCGCAUGGUUCAGACAUAAAAGGUGGCUUCGGCUACCACUUACAGAUGGACCCGCGGCGCAUUAGCUAGUUGGUGAGGUAACGGCUCACCAAGGCGACGAUGCGUAGCCGACCUGAGAGGGUGAUCGGCCACACUGGGACUGAGACACGGCCCAGACUCCUACGGGAGGCAGCAGUAGGGAAUCUUCCGCAAUGGACGAAAGUCUGACGGAGCAACGCCGCGUGAGUGAUGAAGGUUUUCGGAUCGUAAAGCUCUGUUGUUAGGGAAGAACAAGUGCCGUUCAAAUAGGGCGGCACCUUGACGGUACCUAACCAGAAAGCCACGGCUAACUACGUGCCAGCAGCCGCGGUAAUACGUAGGUGGCAAGCGUUGUCCGGAAUUAUUGGGCGUAAAGGGCUCGCAGGCGGUUUCUUAAGUCUGAUGUGAAAGCCCCCGGCUCAACCGGGGAGGGUCAUUGGAAACUGGGGAACUUGAGUGCAGAAGAGGAGAGUGGAAUUCCACGUGUAGCGGUGAAAUGCGUAGAGAUGUGGAGGAACACCAGUGGCGAAGGCGACUCUCUGGUCUGUAACUGACGCUGAGGAGCGAAAGCGUGGGGAGCGAACAGGAUUAGAUACCCUGGUAGUCCACGCCGUAAACGAUGAGUGCUAAGUGUUAGGGGGUUUCCGCCCCUUAGUGCUGCAGCUAACGCAUUAAGCACUCCGCCUGGGGAGUACGGUCGCAAGACUGAAACUCAAAGGAAUUGACGGGGGCCCGCACAAGCGGUGGAGCAUGUGGUUUAAUUCGAAGCAACGCGAAGAACCUUACCAGGUCUUGACAUCCUCUGACAAUCCUAGAGAUAGGACGUCCCCUUCGGGGGCAGAGUGACAGGUGGUGCAUGGUUGUCGUCAGCUCGUGUCGUGAGAUGUUGGGUUAAGUCCCGCAACGAGCGCAACCCUUGAUCUUAGUUGCCAGCAUUCAGUUGGGCACUCUAAGGUGACUGCCGGUGACAAACCGGAGGAAGGUGGGGAUGACGUCAAAUCAUCAUGCCCCUUAUGACCUGGGCUACACACGUGCUACA